CAAUCGAACCCGGAGAUAGCUGGUUCUCCUCGAAAUAGCUUUAGGGCUAGCCUCGCAUUAGUUUACCGGAGGUAGAGCACUGAAUGGUCUAGGGGGCCUCACCGCCUACCGAAACCUAUCAAACUGCGAAUGCCGGAUAAAUGAUGUGCGGGAGUCAGGCCGCGAGAGAUAAGUUCCGCGGUCAAAAGGGGAACACCCCAGAUCGUCUGCUAAGGUCCCCAAGUACGCGUUAAGUGGGAAAGGAUGUUGGAUUGCACAGACAACCAGGAUGUUGGCUUAGAAGCAGCCACACAUUCAAAGAGUGCGUAAUAGCUCACUGGUCGAGUGAUCCAGCGCCGAAAAUGUAACGGGGCUAAAACGCGACACCGAAGCAGCGGGAUGCGUAAGCAUCGGUAGAGGAGCAUUGUGUGAGGGUAGAAGCCAGAGCGGGAGCACUGGUGGACUUCACAGAAGAGAGAAUGCCGGUAUGAGUAGCGAGACCCAUGCGAGAAACAUGGGCGUCGAAGGCCCAAGGUUUCCUGGGGAAGGUUCAUCCACCCAGGGUAAGUCGGGACCUAAGCCGAGGACUGAGGUCGUAGGCGAUGGACAGCAGGUAGAGAUUCCUGCACCACUUACACUUGUUUGACGAAGCAGUGACACAGAAGGAUAGGACGAGCGCGGUGAUGGUCAACCGCGUAGGCGGCACGAGGCCGGGAAGCAGUGAAGUACACUUCCCGCAAAGGCUGAGUGUUGACAGGACCGAAAAGAAGUAGGGAAGCGUCCGAGUUCACGCUGGCGAGAAAAGCUGCUAAGGAGAGUGUGAGUGCCCGUACCGGAAACCGACGCAGGUGGGCGAGGAGAGAAUCCUGAGACGGACGGGAGAACUCUUGUUAAGGAACUCGGCAAAAUGACCCCGUAACUUCGGGAGAAGGGGUGCCUCGAAAGAGGCCGCAGAGAAUAGUCACAAGCGACUGUUUAGCAAAAACACAGGUAUCUGCGAAAGCGAGAGCUGACGUAUAGGUGCUGACGCCUGCCCGGUGCUGGAAGGUUAAGGGGAAGUGUUAGGGGAAACCCGAAGCAGAGAACCGAAGCCCCAGUAAACGGCGGCCGUAACUAUAACGGUCCUAAGGUAGCGAAAUUCCUUGUCGGGUAAGUUCCGACCCGCACGAAUGGCGUAACGACUUGUGAGCUGUCUCAACAGGAGGCCCGGUGAAAUUGAAGUAUGUGUGAAGAUGCACAUUACCCGCGACUGGACGGAAAGACCCCGUAGAGCUUUACUGUAACCUGACAUUGGAUCUUGAUAACGGAUGCACAGGAUAGGUGGGACGCUGGGAGACGAGGACUUUGGUUUUCGUGGAGCGGCCGUUGGGAUACCACUCUUCUGUUAUUGAGAUUCUAACCUCAAGCCGUAAGCCGGAUGAGAGACAGUGUCAGGCGGACAGUUUGACUGGGGCGUGCCGCUUUAAUUGGCGAACAGCCAAACCCUUGGGACCU
rnacentral:rRNA from 1 species